GGGUUUUUGCAGAUUUUCAAAUAAAACUCAGAGAUUCCUUGUAUGACUCUCUUAGAUCUCUCUUUUGUGGUAUUUCUGGAUCCUUACCAAGGCAGUGAUGGUAUAUGCCUUCUAUCAAGAUAUGUGGUAUUUAUGGUAUAUAGCAUAAUGACAUUGCCUUCUCUCUCUCACCCUACUCUAAUAAGGCUUUAAUAUCUGGAGCUCAUAGGUGGGAGAUAAAGUAUACAUACUUACAAGACAUUUAUUGCAUAGUCAAACCAUGGAUCCAAAGAAACAAAUCAAUAAGCCAAAUCAAGAUGUGCAUGUGUGGCGAAUGAAUGGUGUAUGGUGAUAACAAUGGUGGUGGAAGUCUAAUUCUACUUUGCUCUUUGAGGGAAUACAUACCUUCCUUGCUUUUGAAACUUUAUGAGGAGAAUGAGAUGCUCUUCUUUUUCUUUUCUUUUCUCUCAGGUGGGUAUCUUGUACCCCUAAUUCUACUGUCGGACACUUGUCCAUUUUUACCUCUCGUCUCACUUUUUUCUUUAUUUCGAGGUUCCGAGCACUUGCUCCUUUUUAUUUCCUCGUAUUAUUAUUUUUUUAUAAGCACUCAUCUCUUGAGAUAAUAUAGCAAGUGGUAGUAAGAAGAUAACUUGAGCAUUUAUUUCAUAAAGGAAAAAACAGGAAUAUUUUUGGUUAUUCUCUCCCAAAUUAGGAGUAGAAUAUUUUUGGGUGAUUCUAGAGAUGGAAUUGGAUGGAUAUAUGUGGAUGGUACUUCCGGAGUAGAAGUAGCAUAUAUGAGUGAACGUGCAAGUGAAUCUUGAUUUAACCACAUGACAAGCUCCUAAGGGUCUACACAGCUUGACCACACUCAAUGCUCAUAAGUAGUAAAUAUUAAAUGUGUGGCUCAAAGUCUAGCAAGCAUGUAUAUAUGGCUGUGGUAGGAAUUUAAACUCUCAUUAUAUAGGAACUCAUCAUGCAACAUUUUAAAGAUUUUCAAAGAUAAAAUUCUCCAGAAUUCUAGCAUCUCUAGGAACAGAUAAAUAACAGCUCAACCUUCCCAUAUCGUAUCCGUUAACAACUUAGACUUCAGAUCAUGUUUUCAUCCCACAAGUUUAGAUCUAGAGCAAGCUUUAAAUUAUAACAGUUAUGUCUAAACUUGAGAGAGAACUUAAAAUGUGCAAAUUAGGCAGAGCAACUAUUCAUCAUAUCCAUGCUUAAGUUUUAUUUACAUACAGAUUAGCAUAGCCACUUUAUUGAUUUAUUAAAAACACUAAGCAAAAGACAUAUAUAUAUAUAUAUAAGCACAAACUCUUUAUUUGGUUUUCCAUAGUUUAUGUGUAUUUAUAUUCUGAAAUAAUAUAAGUAUAAAGAAAGAUAGAAAUACUUAUCGAGAUAAAUGGGGGUGCUCUCCCCCAAGCUGAAUUUUGACGUAAUUUCCCUUGAUGUAGCUAGCAGGUGGCAGAGGUGUAUUUGAAAGUCAGCUGCAUUCUGACAGCGAUUAGAAUGUCCUCCGUCUGCCAGUCUUCUUGAUUCUUAAAUUCUGUGGAGUUCAAAUAGACAACAAAGCUUGUGGAACUCUUGGCAAGGCGUUCGGUGUUUUUAAGUCCUCCGAACGGGACCCUCCAUUUUCUUAAUCGUCCUGAGGUUCGUUGGGUGGCGUAGUCGGUACUUCUGGCAGCGCCUCCUCUUCAUGUAUAGUUAUCUUCAUUUUCCACACCUGACUUGGUGUUUCCGUCUCCUCUGGAUAAUUCUGUUUAAACUCUACGUCUUCUGACCUUACAACUUCUCCUUCAUAGUCUGCCCAUCCGUCCUUGAUGAUCUGCCUCCUCUGGCUGCGGUUGCGUCGCUUUCUUACCUACUUAGAUUCUUCAACGAUAUAGUUAGGGUCAGUAAAAUAACGGCAUACCUUCUCUGAGGGGAAGUGCAUAUGGACUUCUCCGGUUCCAAUAUAGAUAAUUGCUUUAACGGUGCUGAGGAACGGUCUUCCAAGGAUGAUGGGUGGAUCAUACUCGUCUUCUCCCAUGUCAAUAACUUGAAAGUCUGUGUAGACAAAAUGAUCGUCUAUUUUGACUGGGACAUCAGUUACUAUUCCUUUGACUUCUCGAAAUGUCUGAUCUGCCAUCUGGAGUUGAAUGUAUGUUGGUCUUAGUGGCAUGGUUCCGAACAAGAGCCGAUAGGUGACUGCGGCCAUUAUGUUGACGCCUGAUCCGGUGUCGCAAAUCGUCUUGUAGAAGCUAUAUCCAUUUAUGGAGCAGUAGAUUGUUGGCAUUCCUGGGUUGUCCUUCUUGGUCAAAAACGGUGACUUAAGUUGUUGAUCUUGACCUCCAUGAACUGCAGUGACCAUCUUAGCUGACUCGGUCCACACUUGCUUGUUCCUGUAUCUCCUGUUGGUCCUCUUCCUUGAUUCACGUCUGGAUUGAUUUGGAAUUUGUGUAGUCUUAUUCUUGAAGAAAAAUGUCUCCUUCCUCCCUUUGACGUAGAAACUGAUCUUGGCAGCACUAGCAUAGAUGAUAGCUCCCGUGGUGUUCAAGAAUGGCCUCCCUAAGAUGAUGGGUGCUCUCUCAUCAUUUCCGGUCUCUAUCACUACGAAGUCUGCUAGAGCAUAUAAGGUACCAACACGGACGCAAAGGUUCUUCAAUAUUCCCUUUGGAAAAGUUAUCGUCUGAUCUGCAAACUGCAAACACAUGGUUGUCUCUAAUAAAGGAUAUGUAAAGAUUUUUUCAUAGAGUACCCUAGGUAUAAUGUUGACGCUAGAGCCAAAGUCGCAGAGUGCUUCUAGAACGUCCACCAUGCCAAUGGAGAUCGGGAUGACGGGGCGUCCUGGAUCGACUCUCUUGACCGGCAGAAGGUCAGUAGAGAAUUCAGUGACAGGGUUACUCCAAUUAUUACCUGCAUCAAAAUGUCUACAAGAUUUGCAGAUUCUAAUCCUUCUGGUUGUGAUGGUAUACCGGGGUUAGUAGUAGUUACAGCAGCAGCUAUUUGAUUUAACUGAGAUUCAAUCAUUUUAUUAAAGCUAAUUUGAUUCUUGAUGGCAGUAGAGAAAUUAUCCAAUCUAUUAUUUAUAUUUUCUAGCAUUUUAUCAUUAGAUGCCAAUUUCUUAGAUAGGUUAUCUAUUAGCUUUCCUUGAUUAGACACUAACUCUCUCAAAGGUGGAAAAUUAUUAUUAUUGUUGUAAGAAUUGUUACCUUGAUAAUUACCUGAGUAGUUAGGCGUCUGUUGAUUCCAACCUUGAUUUUGUUGAGGACGGUUGUAGUAGUAGUAGUUGUUGUUGUUGAUGUAGUUCACAUCCUCAAGUAUCUCGGGGCAGUGGUUGCCUGAGUGUCCAGUAUCUCCACACUCCUCACAAGUCAUGUGAGAGUUGUAGAUGUGCAUAACUUCUUUCUUGUCUCUGGCUCUAUCGUCGAGCUUCUUCAUGAGCAGGUCUAGCUUUGCAGACAGCAUGUCUACCUCCUUCAGCUGAUGCAUACCUCCACCUCUCUUGCGUGUCUGGGUCCUCUCUUCAUUCCAGCUUUGGUUGGACGCCAUCUUCUCCACAAGAGCUGUGGCUUGUGGUAUAGUAAGUGAUAAGAAUGCUCCUCCAGCUGCAGCAUCCAUGGUCUCUCGGGCACUGUUGCCGAGCCCAUGAUGAAACGUCUGCAUUAGUAGCCAACUCUCCAUUCCAUGAUGGGGACAUUCUAGGAUGUAGUCUUGAAAGCCCUCCCAUGCUUCUAGAACAGAUUCAUCAUUUUGUUGCUGAAAACUUGUAAUCUUCCCCCGGAGAGCAUUAGUCUUGCCCAUGGGAAAGAACUUAGCCAGGAAGUUUGUUGAGCAGAGUGCCCACGUAGUAUUAUUCUCCUUUGUAGCGUAGAACCACUGCUUCACUCUUCCUAACAGUGAGAAUGGGAAGAGGCGAAGUAGUAUAGCAUCUUUGGAAACUCCUGAUAUGGUGAAUGUGUUGCAAAUCUCCAGGAAGUGUUGUAAAUGAGCACUAGCAUCUUCGUGUACCUUCCCACAGAACUGGUUGGAUUGCACCAUGUUGAUAAGUCCAGGCUUGAGCUCAAAGUUGCCAUCGAUCUUUGCAGCAGGUCCAGUGCGGAUGUUGUCCGUAGUGGGAGCUGAGAACUCGCGGAUUGAUUUGUUCGCCAUGGCUUCGAACUCUGAAGACAAGUUCCGGUGAUCUUCUUGAUUGGAUGAAGCUUCUUGCUGAAGUGUUGAUGAUCUCUUCUUGAGCUUUGCUCUCGUCUUCUUGAAUAAUGCUUCAGGAUUGACAACAAAAUCUCCUGGAAGAUGUCUUCUAUUCAUACAUUCCCCUGCAUAAGAUAAAAUAGAAAAAUAUCGGGGUAAAACUGUAUGAGAGAAUAGAUAAGCUCAAUCAUAUUAGUGAUGCGAAUGAUAACUCAAAAUCUUUUAUUCUAUUCCUGAUUAUUAAUCAACCUUCCCCGGCAACGGCGCCAAAAAUGCUUGUUGGGUAUUCUUAACAUCAUUACCAAAAGUAGACUAAGUUCUCUAAAUCUAGUAACGGUGCCAAAAAUGCCAAACCUAUCCCUCACACCACUUAAGCCAAGUUGUCAUCCCUAGCAUGAUAUAAGAGAUGCGGUAUUGAAAUAUGCAAUUGCUCCUCUAAAUAAAUAAUGAAUGGGAUCUGCAAGCGCACAGAUUAAUACCGAUGUAGCAUUUUAACCGGGAAGUAUUCCAGGUAUCGUUAUUUAUAUUUUUACCACUGGGAAGGGAUUACCAAUCAUCACUAUUGAUUACAGAAUAGAAUAUGAGAUUGAGCAUCUAUCAUUACAUGUAUAAUUGAGAACAUUUAUCUAACUCUUCAUACAGGGAUAAGUGUCACAUAAAAGAUAUAUGAAAUAAUAAUAGUGACAAGGAUAACUAAUCUGAUCUAGCCACAUAAUAAAUAUGAUAAGCACCUCAAUUAGAUACUCUAGAAAGUCAUUAGCAUGGUAUUAGAACGAACUACAAGAAUAUUCCCUAAGUUAUUCUCAACUAUAUAGUCUAGCAUUAUCAUAAUUAGUGCAAGCAUACUUAGCAAUCAUUGUGAGACAAGACUACGCCCAUGCAUAGUGAUAUUAGCAAGGUAAAUGAGAAACAUAGCAAUCACUCCCCUGUAAUAAUGUUGCUCUGUCACCCCAAUACACGAGAGGGGGACUAUAUAAGAAUCAAUGAAGCUGUCACUAUCACGAACCACCCCACGAUCUGGCAUAUUGGGUACAAUCGCAGAUAAAUACGGUAUAAGCACCACGCCUACACAAUAUCUAUCAUUUACCCAUGGAUCCGAUGGAUAAACGCUAUACGAUCCUAAGCAUGUAUAUAGAUCCAAUCUAACUAAGCCAAGUACAUAACUAUGAUAAACUAAGAACAAUAUAAUCUUGAAUAUAAGCAAGUAGAGCAAAGUCAUAAGCAAUAUAUUGAAAUAGAACAAAGUCAUAUUCAUAAUAUUGAAGAACAAAGAUAAUUAGAAAGUAAUUAGAAGCACAAUUAGAGAAUUACCAAGAAUCCUCUUCACAGAUCCAGAAACCAAUCGAAGAUUGACUCCUUCUAGUUCUAAUCCUAUGUAGCUAUGCUAAUCUAGAUAUCUAAUUGAUGUGGUGGCUCUAAUCUUGAUCAGAGGCUUCUUCUCCCUUGAAGAACAAUGAAUUAGGGUUGAGAGGCUCUCUCCUCUAGGGGCCAGGGGGUCUGGUUUUAUAGUCCCUUCAAGUGAAUAUGGGCCGUUGGAUCAAACCGACAUAGAUUGUAUGGUUUAGAUUCAUCCUUUAGGUCGGUGCAAAUCUCCCGCAAAGCAGAGUCCUGAUUGGACUCAGGAGGUGGGCGGGCGCCCAGGGUCAGGCCCCGUUUCGCCUCCGCUUCGGUCUCGUGGCUUCUGGAGUCUUCUAGAUGUAAGAUAAUUGCGCGGUACGUUAAUAUCUGUAUGUAAUCCCGACGUGUGGGCCUUUCUUUCGUAUUUCCUGAUAACCCCCUGCAGAAAUAGACAAACACCAAAACUCGUGGAAUUCUGUCAGAUAAAACCCUAAGUCUGGAUCUUGAUUUCAUUUGGAUCCUUUUCUUUAUUUAUUUGAUAAUUAAAUUUGAUACUUAAGGACCGUCAACAGGGUGUUACAGCCCUCCCCCCUUACAAAAAUCUCGUCCCGAGAUUUGAAAGCUUACUGAUUUUCGAAGAAUGUUUUGUAAACUUCUUUUAAAUAAUCCUCCGUCUCCCAAGUGGCAUCUUCCUCCCCGUGGUUACUCCACAACACCUUGUAGAGCUUAACCACACGAUUACGAGUCACCCGUUCCUUGCGGUCAAGAACCGCUAUAGGUGUUUCUUCAUACACCAAGUCUGACUUCAACUUUAUAUCUUGAACUUCCACUCAUUCCUCCGGUACACGAAGGCACUUCUUUAAUUGUGAUACGUGAAAGACAGGGAAAAUAGCUCAAAGCACAACUGGGAGUUGAACUUUGUACGCCACAUUCCCUUUCUUUUCGAGAAUCCGAUAAGGUCCCACAUAACGAGGUGCAAGCUUUCGCUUGACUCCGAACCUUUGUACACACUUCAUCGGAGACACCUUGAUAUACACAUGGUCGCCAACUGAAAACUCAAUCGGCUUCCUUCUUUUGUCGGCAUAACUUUUCUGAUGAGCUUGAGCAGCUUCCAGAUGUUGCUGGAUGGUACGGAUUUGCUGCUCUGCUUCGUUCACGAAAUCGAUGCCAUAAUACCUUCGCUCUCCGGCUUCUACCCAAUUCAACGGGGUUCGACACUUUCGAACGUACAGGGCUUCAAAUGGAGCCAUCUUGAUACUCUCCUGAUAACUAUUGUUGUAGGAGAACUCAGCUAAUGGCAACCACUUAACCCAAGAACCUUUUGAAGAGAGAGCACAUGCCCUUAACAUGUCUUCUAGGAUUUGGUUAACCCGUUCAGUUUGACCAGCCGUUUGGGGAUGAUAGGCAGAGCUACGGACUAAAUGAGUACCAAUCUGCUCGUGCAGACAUUCCCAAAAACGAGCAGUGAACUGUGGUCCAUGAUCUGAUACAAUAGUUCGAGGCACACCAUACUGACGGACAAUGUGCUCGAAAUACAAUUCUGCAUAUUGAUGUGGACGAUAGUCAGUUCGAACUGGAAUAAAUCGAGCAACCUUGGUCAAACGAUCUACAAUCACCCAGAUAGAGUCGUAACCCUUAACAGAAGUUGGGAGUCCAACGAUGAAAUCCAUGCUGACUUCUUCCCAUUUCCAACCUGGAAUUGACAAGGGUUGAAGCAAACCAGCUUUCAUGUGAACAGCCUUCACACGACAACAAUUGUCACAACGAGCGACAAAAGCAGCAAUCUCCUUUUUCAUCUUUGUCCACCAAAACAAAGGUUUCAGAUCCUGAUACAUCUUGCUACUACCAGGAUGGAUAGACAAUUUGGAUGAAUGAGCUUCAGACAAUAUCUGAUUUCGCAGCUCACGGUCUUUUGGGACCACUAGUCGGUCUUUGAACCAAAGAAUUCCGUUCUCAUCGACCCGGAAAUGCUUGGUUUCUUCUUCCUUCAUUUUCCUCUUUAUAUGGUGGAUACCUACAUCUGUUUGCUGCAAUUCGAUGACUCGAUUGCGAAGAGUACUCUCCAGAGAAAUCUAUUGGAGCACAAGUGGAUGCAUAAGAUGAGACAACAACAGUUCUUCCACUUGGAUUGAGUGACAGUGCGCUUUCCGACUCAAGGCAUCCGCCACCACGUUCGCCUUUCCUGGAUGAUAGUGCACUUGUAGAUUAUAAUCUUUAAUCAACUCAAGCCACCUUCGCUGCCGCAUGUUCAGUUCAGGUUGAGUGAAGAUAUACUUGAGGCUCUUAUGAUCGGUGUAGAUAUUACACAGAUUACCCAGCAAAUAAUGCCUCUAGAUUUUCAAAGCAUGAACAACUGCUGCCAAUUCUAAGUCAUGAGUAGGGUAAUUGACCUCAUGCUUUCGAAGUUGGCGCGAGGCAUACGCGAUAACGCGACCUUCCUGCAUCAACACGCAGCCUAGACCGAUGCCUGACGCGUCACAAAAGACAUCGAAGGGCUUUUCGACAUCAGGUUGAGCUAGGACCGGAGCUGAUGUCAGUAAUGUCCUCAACUUGUGGAAUGCCUCUUCACAUUCAGGCGUCCAUACAAACUUCUCAUCCUUCUGAAGUAGCCGAGUCAUAGGCUUGGAUAUUUUUGAGAAUUCGGGAAUGAAUCGACGAUAAUAUCCAGCCAGACCAAGAAAACUCCAAACCUCGUGUACCGAAGUUGGAACUUUCCAAUCCAGCACUUCUUGCACCUUGGCUGGGUCCACCAAUAUGCCUUCUUCAGAUAAGACAUGGCCCAAGAAAGGUACUUUCUUCAGCCAAAACUCGCAUUUGCUAAACUUGGCAUAAAGCUGAUGUUCGUGCAAACGUGACAACACUAUACGCAGAUGCUCUGCAUGCUCCUCUUCAUUGUAGGAAUAUACCAAGAUAUCAUCAAUGAAGACCACCACAAACUUGUCCAAUUCGGUCAUGAACACCGAAUUCAUGAGAUACAUGAAGUGAGCAGGUGCAUUUGUAAGACCGAAGGACAUGACGAGAUACUCAUACAACCCGUACCUUGUCGAGAAAGCUGUCUUAGGUACAUCUUCAGGACGGAUCUUGAUCUGAUGGUACCCAGAUCGCAAAUCGAUCUUGGAGAAUACCUUGGCUUUAGACAAUUGAUCAAACAAGAUAUCAAUGCGAGGAAGAGGGUAUUUGUUCUUGAUGGUUACCGCAUUUAAGGGACGAUAGUCCACACACAUGCGCAAAGAUUGAUCCUUCUUCUUCACAAAGAUAGCCGGACAACCCCAUGGAGAAGAACUAGGACGGAUAAGACCCUUCUUCAACAACUCAUUUAGUUGGGUCUUAAGCUUAGCUAAUUCAUUGGGUGGCAUUCUAUAAGGUCUUCUAGAGAUAGGAGCGCUACCUAGAAUCAACUCAAUUUUGAACUCCACAUCCCGAUCCGGAGGAAGCCCGGGCAAAUCAUCAGGAAAUACAUCCGGGAACUCACACACCACCGGAAUGUCCUGAAUAGCCUUAGAUGUAACUGCAGUCACAGUGCUACGGAUUUGAAUAUCACGAGGGAGUUGCACUAGAAAUGCCUCCUUGGUAUUUAGGUCUUUCAACAUCACUACAUGAGUGGUGGUGUCGAUAAGAACUCCAUUGCCACUCAUCCACUUCAUCCCUAGAAUUACAUCUAUGCCCACACCAGGUAGAACAACCAAAUCAGCAAGAAACUGACGGCCUCCUAUUUCCAGAGUUGCCCCCAAUUAAGUUUCUUUCGUGGUUCCAUGGUUUUGACAUGUAACCACACCAGAAAACCACCGCGAACACUCCCCUAGACCACCGUUUGUACGAUCAUGCUCUCACAGCUCACACUUACCAGAGCGUAGGUGUGACGUUGCAUAAUUUAAAUCUAGCGACAUAUGUGGCUAAUUCACAUAUGAAGGCUACCUCCACCAUUAGACCACAGGGUAGCAUAGUGCGGUCAUCACACAUCCAUACCUGAGUACUGCCGGAGAUGCAUAAAUAAAACCCCCCAAGUCAGUACUUAAAUAGCCACCUAUAGUCCUUACGUGGGCAAGGAGGAUUCAACCACUGGCAUAACUUAAAUAUUGAUUUACACCAUUUUAUUUAAAAACUCUUUUGUUUUUUAAAUACACAAACGCUGCAUUUAUAAUGCUGAACUCGCUCCGAUACCAGCUGUCACACAACCGACCAAAUUAUAAGAGUUCAAGUGUAGAAACGAUCGACAAGCAAUCAAGUUUCCAAACUUGAGCCCAUAUAAUCCCGGUAGUCAAUUGAAAUCACGAAGGACUUCAAACCAACUUGCAACAAACCAAGAUCGUAAUAAUUUAGGACAACACAGCGAAUGUUACAUAGUCAUUCAUUGCCGUCGAAGCGGCACCACAUCUGAGUAUUAAGUUAUUACAACACUUGUUUGAAGUAGCGGAAGCAAAAUAGUUACACACACACUUUCCAAAGUUCAGUUCAUAAGUUCGGGUUACUGCCAUAGUCUACAUCAUCCUUCCAAAAGCACAGGUAUGAGGUUGUUAGAGAACCGUGCCCAACGGUUAGUCCUCAUCCCCAGCGGGAUGGAGACAGGUCUUGCAGAAGCCGUCAUAAAAGAUGUCAUCUGCAACAGGUGGGAAUAAACCCUGAGUACGAGAAUGUACUCAGCUAGACUUACCCGUCUAGUAAAAUAUAAAAGACACCAAGGAUCAUGCAAGGCUAAUAUAUAAAAGUAGAGCUGGUUGACUCGACAUUUUGCCAAAAGCCUUUAUUAUGACUAACCCAUUGUAAGAGCAUCAUAUUUAUUUAUCUUUAGCCUACUGCUAGAUUGGCACCUGUACUAAAGCACUUCACUUGAUUAUUACAAGCAAUAAUAACCAUAUCAAGUUCAUCAUAUGUUCUUCUUUGCUAUCAUCAUUAUCAUGAACCAAGUUCAUUAGUGAAUGCUAUGUUUGCCGCUGCUCUAUCAAGUUCUCACUAACCAGGAGAGACGGCGAUUCGAAUCGAAUUCCUAUCCAGCUGGAGGGUUAUUCCUAGCACUCACCCAAGCAUCCCCCGUCGGAGAGCCAACGGGUCACCUUUGGUACAACUCAGGAAUCGCGGCUCCGAUCAGCGCCGCACUCCCAGGGCUACCACUCUGCCAGGGAGGUCAGGAAUUUUAACUCACCUGCCUUUGGGCUUACGCCAAUGGUCCCCCGCACACCGCACUUCCUCCGAUAGUGCGCACAUUAUACUUGCCGGUCUUCCGGCCUGAGUCAUACUACUCGGCUUCGCGGUCGGAACGAGUUAUCCGGCCAACUAAGUGUUAGGCAUGCGUUCAACAUGACAAGAGGACGUACAACGGUCGGUCCUUAGCUGCCAUAGACGGAGUUACUACAACCUUGCAAAACUCCGCCCGGCUUAAGUCAAAUUAAUCAGGUUCCAUCCAUGAUAGCACAUAUAGACCAUCGUGAUCCGACACAACCCUAUAUCGCGCAGGUGACAGGAAAUCACCCGACUUCUACCGAUUAAGUAUGGCUAAGCUGCUACUCGAUCCUAACUCUACAACCAAGGUAGGGUAAAUUAUCUGGACAAGGAUGGAGUAAAGUGCAGCAAAGGUUUCAUCACAACUCCUAUACUUAAUGCAGCAAUAGAUAUAACUUAUUAAAUAAACUUUCGAAAGUAAGGGGAAACUUAGAAUGCUCCGGGGCUUGCCUUUCACGAACGAGGCUGGCUCGUGACUCGGGCACUCAACUUCUUCUUCGGGCUCCUCGAGUCCGACUUGCUGGACCUCCACCUCCGGGUUGCCCUCCUGGCCUUCGGGGUUCACUUGCAGUUCGAAGGAGGCUGCCACGUCUGAUGCACCUAUUGCAUGCUCGAUGAAUAAGAAGGUGUACAUGCUAAAAGAUGAAUGCUUGAUAAUAUAAUGGACGCACUGGACACUCAUUUACGGAGUAACACAGUUAUAACAAGUUCACACAAGUUAACAAGUUAACUUAGCCCAAAACCUAUCAUGAUAGCCUAUAACAGCAAGCAUCAAACAGCAGGAUUAGCUCAGUAAACAGAUCAUAACUAUUACCAAAAAGAUCCAACAAAUUUAAGUGAGGACAUUAUGGAAAGCUUAUAAAAUUGUCUACAAAUCAUCUCUAAACAUCACAGCAAGAUUCAUAUAUUAAACAAGUCAUUUAAACAAAGUUCCAGGUUCUGUCCCAGAAAAACAGAGAACACCUAUUUCUGGAACUUAACUUGGAAAGAUCAUAACUUCAAAACUACUGGACUAAAUGAUCCCAAAUUUAAACCACAGCUAGUUCAAUAAGUUUAAAACAACUUUGACUUAGACAAGUUUCCCAGAAAACCAAGUUAUCAUUAAGAAAAAGUUAAAUUACUCCCUUGCUGUCCAGAACAGCUUUUAACCCACUAAUUAAUUAUUUAAUGAUAUAGCCAAAGCAUAAACAGUGUCAACCAUAUAACUUAUAAGUACAAGCAUGUCAUAAGGUUACCAGAACACCACAUGAUAACCUCCAAAUGUUUAUUAACAAGGCAUUUAUUAAUUUUAAUUCUAGAGAGGAGCAUAAUUACAAGAUACUAGUAAAAGUGCUCAGAAAAAUCUACAAAAAUUACAGAAGCACAAGUAGGGCUCCAAGGCAUCACCAUAAAAAUUUUAGAGCAAUUGCACAUACCAAAUUAAAGAUAUGCAUUUAACAUAUGACAAGGUGUUUAUUUCAUAAAUUCAGAAACAUGACUUAUAUGAUGUCAAACAACAGAUUUCAGAUUAUUUACAUAUUAUGAAUGUCAAAAACAAGUUUACCACCUAAGUAGAACACCAGCAUAAGCACCAAUUAUUUUAUAUGAUUUAAUCAAGGAAACAAGCCAAAUCUCAAACAUAAAUCACAUAACAAAGCUGCAGUACUCCAAAAAUCAUGAAAUAUUUAUCAAAGCACUCUAGUACCACUCAGAGACUACCAUACAAUUUUUAGAGCAAACUAAGAAGUAUAACAAGAGAUAUGAAUUUAUUCAUGAAUAACAAGAUUAAAUCCUUAAUAAAUUUUUUCCCAGAAAACAUGGCUCAUUUUAUAUUUUUAUUAAAAACUAGCCAUCUAAAGGAAUACCACAAAAUUGGUUUCAUAAUUUUUGGAUCUCAUAAACAGGAGAUAUGAUUUUUGAAAGAAAGCCAAAAAUCAGGAUUUUGAAUAAAAGAAAAGGAGGGAAGGGAGGUGACACUGACAGCGGGCCCUGCAUGUCAGGUUCAUCUCCCUCACGGCCGAGGCGACUCUCGCUGGUGAUUUCUCUGUGACGGCGAGGUCUCCGGCCAAACCAAUGGCACCAUUGUGAUCCCCAGACUCUAGCGACUCGAUUAAUCCCCUUUUCCCCACGGCGGAGCCACCGGAAGGGGCUCGCCGUCGAUCAUGGCGGCUCGGCGGAGGUGCUCGGCGUUACGCCGGAGUCCUCAGGCCGGUAGAGCGUGACCUAGGGUUUCCUACAGCACCGGCGGACUACGGCGAAGCUUCCUAAGUACGCGGCUUGGCUUGAAACAUCGUGGAACACGCUGGCCACGAGAGCGCCCAUCUCCAGCGGAAACACGGCGGCGCUGCGCAUCGUGUCCGGCGACGAUGGGUUCGGUAGAGCGUCCACCGAGAGGUGCAAACGCUUGCUAGGAACGUAAGCAACCUCUAGGACCUGACCAGAGAAGACGGGCGACUUCACAGGGCUCGGCAUUGAGUUCGCCAGAAAAGAAGGUCACGGCGACCCGAUUUGGGGGAAGAAGGAAAUGGCGGCUCACCGGUGGAUUUCACGGCGAGAUGAUGGGUGGAGAAUGGAGAGUGGUUCACGGCGAAGCUUUGGGUGAAGUUUGGUAGGCAAUGGCGCAGUGAGCUCGCCGGAGUGAGCUCGCGAUGGUGAGCUCGCUGCGGGCAGGUUACAGGCGAGAGAGGGCGUGGAAGGAGAGAGUGGACGCGUCCACUGCGUCCGGGGCGUCGCCGUGGAGGUCAUGCGCGCGCUAGGAGCUGACAAGCGGGGCCAUCGCCGGCGUACGGGCACCAUCUGGCCGACAGGUGUCGCUCGGGACAUCCACGCCGGCGAGCUCGGCUUUGAUUCAGAGAAAACGAUGACAGUGUGACAGAGCGACUUUGAUGAUGAUUAUCUCCCAAACCAAAACGAAUUAGGAGAUGAUGCAGUUGACAAAGUUGGAGUUCCAAUCGAGUUCUACAACAUUGUAAACUAGAGCAAAAGCCAGAUCGGCCUGGAUUGAGAGAUAUAGAGUUUUCAAAACCGAUCAAGCAAACUGUUUUCGCUCCAGGACUUAGAAAAUUUCCUAAGUGUUGGAAACAGCCCCAAAUCUGCCUUGUGGGUCAAUUUUGAGAUAUUUGUGUGCUCAUUUUCAUAAGAUGGCCAUAAAACAACUUUUGUUCCUUAUAAAAUUUGCUACAACUUUGCUGUAGAAAGUUUUGACAUGCAAACAUUUUGUGAAACACUUUUUAAGAACCUAAGCAAAAGAGGUUUCUAGGGCCUAUUUGUAUAAGUAUGACUUAAGUGAUUAUUUUGGAGAAGUGAUCAACAUGAACAUUAUUCCCAAGGUUAAGUUAAGCAUAGAUAAACUAAUUACCAAGGCAUAGAGCACAAACACAAGCAUGGUUCACUCAAACAUAAGCAUUGGAAGCCUAUUUAAGCAAUUUAGAUCACAUUUUUGCAAAGAAUGACAUGGCUCAAGAUAGAUGAUGAUCAUGAUAUGCUUUGAGUAGAUGAUGAUGCUCAUGCUAUGCACAUGAUUAAUGCAACCAUAACACUGGGGUGUUACAGUGACCCUGAGCACGACUGAUAUAUCAGUUUUACACUCUGUAGAGGUUGUACACUUUCAUUGUGAAUCAUGAUUUACCCUUUCGCCUGAGGUCAUGAGUUUCUUAACCCCCUUCCUAGGGAGGCUGACAGGGUUCACUAUGAAGCCUUUCAAAUGUUCGUCUAACAAGUUAGGGCCGCUUGGUUUCAUUAGUCAGUCUAUGUGAUUCUACCACGCAGGGAAUCCAUGGUCUGCUAUCCCCCAUUUGCGCUACACGGGUAACCUCUAACAAGCUAUAAAAGUCCUCGAUCUAAGCUAAACCCAGAGCCAUGUAGCCCUCACAGUUGUACUGUAUGUCCCAUAUAGUCAUAUACAGAUAAGUCCUUUUGGAGAGAAACUAAAGCAACAUAUGAUAGCUCAAUGGUCUAGACCCCAUUUACCAAGUUGCUAUAAAGUCAUCUUUUAAUGGUUAUUGCAUAUUCCAUUAAUCAAAUUACAAGAUCAUGGUUUAGUGGAGCACUAGCAUAGGCUACCCAAUGCAAAACCAUAGGUGACAAGGUUUGAGAUCAAUACUUGGAAAUCCGUAACAAGGAGACACAUGCAAUAUAAAUUGCGUGUGAUUAUAGUUAUUAGGAAACAAGGAUAAUCCCAUGCUAUACUUUCCUUAAAACUCAGAUCCUUCUUUUAGUUCCAAAUCUUCCACAAACUACUUCUGGAUCAGCACGAAAAGCUCACCGUAUAAACUCAGUCACCACAUCAACAAGAAUCAUCCAAAGGCAAUCAUACAAAGCAAACAAAUAUAUGAUUAGAACAAUACCACAACCAUAAAAAAUAAAUACAAUAAGUUUCUAAAAUGAAUCUACAUUGCUCUACGAUCACACAGACAUAAAAAUCACGAAAUCGAAGGCAAAACGAAGAAGAUAUGAAUUUUCUAAGAUUUUUUUAGAAAAAUAAUUAAUUAAAUAGGGUCACAAAAUUAAAAAGUUACAAACUAGUAAAACAGUGAUACUAACCUGUAGAUCUCAUGAUUACGAAUCUAACGCAAUUUGAAUGGGUCAAAUCGGAGUUAAAACGAAUAUUUUAUGAGCAAUAUAAAACUAGUGGCAAACUUGUAAUUUUGUAAAAAUGUAUUUUGAAUCUGAGUACUGAGUUUACGUCUUCAUAAUCAGAAAGUGUAUUUGUUAACUGCGCCAAGGACCAUGGGUUUACAACUUAAGUAACUCAGGGGUUCUUUUGAAAAAAAUUAUGGCCGAAGGGGUAUCAUUCGAUUUAGGCCGUCAGAUUUCGUUCUAAUGACCGAGAUUAGAUCGGGGUGGGGAAGGAAAAUGGCCGGCCGGAGUUCGGGCCGAACCCGGCGGCACCAUGGCCGGAGUUGGCCGGCGUUGUUCGAUCCACUGAUUUAGGGCAUGAAUCGAAGAACCAAAAGCACAGAGAUGUAGAGAACCUUACCGCGAUCUCACCUAGGGCUAAAACGGUGUCAUGGGGUGGCCUGAGUGCGGCUGCAACGGAGAACGGCGGAUGGCGGUCCCGGCAGAAGUUUGGCGAGGUCAAAAGGAGCGUAGAGAGGACAAAAUCAUGAGAAAUAAGGCUUAGCGAAGUCGCAAGGAUGACAGGAAACUUAGUGGGGAACUCACGGAGGCAGAGAUGCGACAAAAAUGGGACAUCAACCUCAGCGGUGAUCUCGAUCCUUUUUGGCGGCGGCUGCAGCUCAGCUAGGGCAAGGGUCUGCGCCAGGGUUGCGGUUGGGGAGUUCGGCGAGGUCGAGGGUGCUAUUUAAGAGGCUCACGACUUGUGGGUCAAGCCAACACGCGGGAUCUGCGCGGCCGGUCCUCGAUUCGGGGUAGAUUCCGGCUUGGACAUGAGGUGGAAGAAGGUCCUGACAGGUGGGCCCCACCUGUUUGUGACUCAGGGGCGCAGGUCCCGCUCGUCAGUGGAAGAAAGAGAGGGAAGGGGUGCUGGCCCGGGGGGGCUGACUGGGCCGCGACUUCUGGGCCGCGGUGGGGAAUGAGCAGGCGGAGGGAAAAAAGAAAGGAGGACGGUGGUGUUACGGCCUUCGGGCCACAAGCCAGAGGGGGAGGGUUCUUCUCUUUUUUUUAAUUUUUUAGAGCUUACUUCAAAACCAAUUUGAAACCAGUCUCAAUUGUCUUAAAUUUUGAUUAAAUUUACACAAUACAAUAGAACAUAUGCACCAUCAUGAAUGCACAUUUUUUCUCUAUUUCCAAAAGAGCAAAAUUUAUGGUGUUACAGCAUGAAAGCAUUAUAGAGUGUUAUUCAAAUAGAGAUGAAAGAGUAUGAUUGCUAUGCAACAUUUUGAGCAUGAAUUCAAAAGGUAGAGACAACCAAUAUUAGCAACAUGAUUUAAGAUUUUUCAAAUAAGCCCAUUCCCCUAAGCUUGAAUUUUACAAAGCAAAUUUAAGAUUGGAUUCAAUAUUGCAUGAUGAUUGGUUGGACAUACCUGGUGCUGCCAUUGUUUAUUCUCUUACUUCAAACCUAAAAUGGUUAGUGACAGAAAUACCCGAGGGAAUAUUUUCAUAAUUAUAUUCCAAUCAUAGGGGCAAUAUAGCAAAAGGUGGAAACUCAUGUUAUCAAACGAUUACAACGAGAUUUAUAAUAUUUAUGAUAAACAUAUGCAUCUACAACCCCCCUUGCAAAGUUUUUAGGAAUAGGUUGGGGUUGAAAAUCUCGUGAGUGGAAAUCUUAGAGUGACCAAUGAAUCUAGGAGAUUUCUCAUGAGCAUGGCUUUGAUGGGAUGUUGAUGAAAUAAUUCCCAUGCUCAUUGAUGUGAUCUCCCUUUUCAAACUCCAUAGGUGUUUCUUUACGGGUGUCUAUAGGCAACAAAUUUGUCUCUAUUAUUUUAUGCCUAUGACGUUCAUUGGAUGUUUUAUCUUCUAGGAUUUCCCAUGAAUUGAUGUCUCUAGGAUUGGUCUCAUCUAAGGCUUUCUCUAAACUUGGGUGAGUCAUGUUUACUAAAGAAAUUGAUUUAAGCUCACCAUUUGAAUCUAGUCCAAGUUCAAAUGCUAAUACUAAGGCUUCAUCCUCUUCCAUCCAUCCUUUAACAAUGGCAUAUGAGUUUUUCAUAUGUUCCAUGCAUUCCUGCCAUUGUCAACGUUGCUCUUCUCGGUCAUUCCUAUAGUCUUCAUGACUCUUGUGCUUUGGGUAUUUUAGUGAGUUUCUAGAGUCAUUAUGAGACUUAGGAAAGGGAGCAUCAAAAGGAUCAUCAGGGUCAAUGAUGGGUUUAAAGAUAGGUGUCGGUGUUUUGACCCUCGAGGGGUAACACCAACAAGUGAAUUUGUAUGCGUGCUAUUUUUCCGGAUGGUUAUGCAAGAAUGACACAAGGGUUUAUCCUGGUUCGGGCAAAGAGAGGCCCUACAUCUAGCGGUGGGAGAGAAUGUGUAUUAUCUUGCACCUAAGUGCUUAUACAGGGGUGAAUACAAGUGGAUCCAACCGGGGGUUCUAAGUCCUAGCUGGUGGUGGUGAUGUAUGAAUCGAGUUCUACGUGUAUUUUUCUUUGCAUUGUCCCCAGCGUCCCCUUUUAUAGUUCCAAGGGGAGGCCUAGGUUACAGGGUACAGGUGUCAGAGUAGACCUCGAUAGGGGUAUGGCUCUGACCUACUCGAGGCCUCCGUGUUAGCGUGACCUUGAGCCAUCUUGUUACAGGGUACUUUGGUGAUGAUGGUGCGUGCAUUUCCUAAGCUUAUCUGUUGUAUAUCAUCGGGCAUUGGCUUGGGCAUGAGCAUGCUUGUACGUUGUGGCUGUCACCAUGUCUGGAGUGGUUGGAGCACUAACUUCCGUUGCUCAAUCCUUCCCUGGGAAGGGGCGUGCAUGCUUGUGGGUCAGGUGGCACAGCCGGCUUUGUUAUGCAGGAGCGCUGACCUUAUCAUCUCGAGAGGUGUCCUGAUUGGAGAUUACGCCUGCUGCACUGUGCAGGUUUCUACAUUUCUUUAGUCUUGAGGAUAAAGCUGUAAAAAGUAGGGAUUUGACGGGUGCAUGUUCCCCUAUCACGCUUCCCGUGACUGUCGGGUUAGCUGGGAUCAUGGCAGUCGCAUUAAAUGCCCUGGAUCAUGUACGCGUGAUAGGCGGCAGGGAACGCUUUUGCGCUCGAGGCCUGCCAAUUCGCUUGACGCCCUUUCCGUAAUCGAUGGUUGCUAGCUAUCGAGCCCUUGACCAUUCGCUCGACUGUAUUUCUAUAUUCCAGGCUUGGGUCGAUACCAUGUUCUGGGUCGAGCUGCGACUUUGGUGAACUUGUGUUUGUACUGGACCCUUGAGCUACUGUUUGAUCUUUUCAUUAUGAAUGUUUGCUGGGGUACCCCCUAUUGACACCCUCGACAGUAGCCCCAAGCCACCUUGUUUGAGCACUUGUGCUCGAGCAGGGGUUCUACCAGUUGUCAAAUUUCCAUGGGUGUCGCGUGAGCGACCCCCGCGGAGGUAGCCCCGAGGCCUUGAAGGAGUCACAGACUCCUUUGAGAUCUAUAUUGCUCUUUCGGAUCAGGGCGUUCUCGAUUUCUGUUUCUGUUGAUGGGCGUUCAUUCCGGGAGGGUGCCCCCAAGCCUUGUUUGUCAGUUUUCCCUUUUGGGGCGAGGAGCGUGAUGUACUCCUGAUGGAGCGAGCAUCAUCAUCCUAGGUGAGUUUUUAUCGGGUAAUCCAAGCGAGAACCUGUGCCCUGUACGAUGGGGUUUGCUGCAGCCCGAAGGCGUUCUCAUUAAAGCUAGGCUAGUGUGGUCGAGGAUACUGGUCUCAUUCGAUAGAGUCCAGCGGCUCGAUGCCUCCCUUGGUUGGGAUUCCUCUUCGUCCUCCUUGCCCUUGCCUUGAAUACUCCCAGCGAGUCCUCAAGGCAUGCCUCGUUUCGACCUCUCGCUGGAUGUCCCUGACUCGGCUACUCGAACACAGUCGGUGGGUUAGUCUGCGCUCCCUCGAGGAUCCAGCGGCGGUGCACACCGAACUUACUUUGCGACGGAAGGAAGGGCCAUGGUGGUUUGUUUUCCUGCCCCCUGGGUGCGUCUUUUUAGGAGGUAGCCAUUGCGGCGCUGUUCCGUUGGGCGGAAUCUGUAACAUCCCGUCAUAGAGGGAAAUGGGACCGUUAGGCAGCACAUUUAUUGCUAGAGUUACCAUGAUUGCCGGAUCCAUCCGUUGCGGCGCGCCUAUAUAUAUAUCGAGGUCUCGUUUGGCUAUUUCCCCUUCCGCAUUUUGCCAUUGCUUUCCUUCCUUCUCUCCUCGCAUCACCCUGCGCGCUAAGAUGAAAGAAAGCUCAAAGAGAGAGAUUGUUAGGGUUCCGCCGCGCCUUUUCGUGCCCCAGAAGAUGCCGGUGAGACUUAUCGCCGCUGACGAGUGGCACCCGUCAAUCGUGGCGGAGCACCAGCUGUGGGACUUGGAGAAGGAGGGGCUCCUACAACCCCUUACUUCCUCGACAUGGCCCGAGUGGAUCGCACCGCCGGCAGAGCACCAGGAGCCAAGCCCACCGGAGGGCUACGUCGUCUCCUUCAUCAAGUUCCACCGCCACGGGCUCGGGUCUCCUCCGAGCCGCUUCAUGAGGGCGCUUCUCCACCACUAUGGUGUCGAGCUCUAGCAUUUCUCCCCCAAUGCUAUCUCUGCCACGGUAAUCUAUGCCGCAGUGUGUGAAGGAUACUUGGGAGUGAUGCUACAUUGGGAUUUGUGGCUUCACCUCUUCCGGGGUAAGCUAUUCGGUGGGGCUGCUAGGGUGAGGAAGCCGGUGUGAGCCAGCUGCCUCAACCUGGUCCAGAAGACGGGGCACACGGACGAGCCUUGAGAAUACAUCCUUACUAGGAUGACGUCAAAUCACGCUAAGUGGGAUUCUCAGUGGUUCUACCUAUGCAACGACGACGGCCUCAGCGCCUAAUCAAGGAGCGCCCCGACAAGUAGAACUACGGCGUCAUCAAUACCCACCAGGCUCAGCUCCACCCCCUUCUCGAGGCCUUGAGGCAUCUGCGCGAGGUAGGCCUGACUACAGCUCUUGUCCUCUCGGCUGUCCACCAUCGACGGGUACUCUUGUUGAUGUCUCGACCGCUAAGGUUCGACGAGAUGGGUCCCUGAGUCCCGUCAUGGGACCUCGAGGCAUGCCGGAUAUCGAACGAGGCGCUCCUAGGCGAGGAGGUUGCUGCCACGGUCAGGGCGGCCAUCUCGGGCGACUUCCAGCCAGAGCAUGUGAAUACCUUCCCUGUAAAGCUUGACAAAGGCUACUAUGAUCUGGUAAGCCUCUCGAGCCAUUGCCAUUUGUCCUUUCCUUUCCGUUUCAUUGUUUCCUUUCUAAUUUUCCUAAGACUUGUAUUUGUUUUGCCAAGGGGUGAUUGAUGCUACGUCCUCAAAGCCUCCAGUGAAGGAGGAUGAUGUUGAGCGUGAGAAAAGGUGCACCACUGCCGAGAAGCACAAGUCUAUGCAAGAAGCAGAGAGGAAGAACGAUAAAAUGAUGAACCUUAGGCAACAGGUGCUCGAGGAGCCUCGAGCCAAGGCGAGGCGCGAGGGGAGGCCCGAGGAGGACUCUCCUGAUGAAGAUGAUGACGACAACGAUGACGAGGAUUCCGAGGGGAUGGUGGCCCACCUCGACUGAGUCCUGCAAAGCCCACCGCAAGUAGACGUUUCCAACGGUCCGUAUGGCAGAGACCGUGAGGGCCGCCAAAAGGAGACGUCGCCUCGCCGUCCACGUGCUGAUACGCCCCCUGCCACGACACAGGGUCAGGCCAUCCUUCCACCAUGACCUCCCCAAGCGUCCGGCCUGGGCCAUCGGGUCAAGACCUCUAGAACAAGGCCGCUGACUUGAGGCUGAGCUGCCGUGGUGGCCUCGAGCAAAGGAGGAGGGCGUCAGAGGAGUGCAAGCCCUGAGGAUCAUCAGGAGGGGAGAGCGGAGCCAUGGCCCACUCCAGUCUUGGAACAGCCAAGGGCCCCGACGCGCGGUGGCUCGAGGUCGGCCGGUCGGGGGACCGGGAGGAGGACAUUCCUUCCUGUGGGGUAAGAUCCCUUGGCCAUGACGCUGCCUUUGUCGGUUCACUAUUUAUUGGCACUAACCAGUCUGCGUCGUUUUUCCCCUGUUCAGGUUUAAGAGGUAGCUGGAGCAGGCCCAACCCUCGACAACCCAAAGGCUCAAGGUAGGGGCGAGCUCCAAGGCACCGGGUAAGUGAUUGGCUUCCUUCUUGUGUCCCUGUGUUAGUUUGCCCAGCGCAGGAAUUCUUCACGGCUGACGCGUGCUUGGGGGUGUAUGCAGCUUCUCCUGACUCAUGGCCGCCCGCUGGUGGCGACGAGAUCCUGCCUCGACCAUCGAGGGGGGCGAUGUCUCGAAAAGUGACCCACAGCCUCUCGGUUAGGGCGAAGUGCCUCGCCUCCAUGGUGUCGGGUAUUUUAAACGCAAACAGAAAAAUUCCACAAGCACACGGAUACCGAUGUAGCUUUCAUCCGGGAGUAUUCCAGAGUAUAGAUUUUCCACUGGAAACGUGAGUGUACUAAUUAAGAUUCAAGAUCGCCCAAGGAUAACUAUACAAUUAUUUUUGGUGGGAAGAGAGAAAGUUUCCUGAGAGUUCUCUAAUUGAUCUAAGAAUAAAGAAUUACUUCAAAGAUUAUUUAUUUCAGGACAUCAGAACACUAACCACAGAAAGAGACAAGAAGGGGGCUAGGAAGCUCUGACUAUGGUCCUACAAACAUCGAUCCGAACAAGGUGGAAUACGUCGACCGUUAGGGCUGUCACUACCCUAGGGCUACCACAACAAUCCGUGGGAUUGGGUGCAAUUCCAGGUAAUUGCAAGACUAAACACCACGUCUAAUCUAUUAAUUACUACUCUAUCGUUUCAAAGACUAGAGCACUUGAUGCAAGCGGGAAUCCAAUAAAUAACUUGAAUGUAAAUAAAACUAAUUAAAGAACUCAGGAAUUAUGAAUUGAAGAACUUGGAGAACGAUGAAAAACGAACCAGUUGCUGCAAAAGUACAAUGUUGAGGAAGAUCCGACAGAUCUGGCUCCUCCUCUGCUCUCAUCUUCUCUCUCCCUAUUUUCUAGAUUACAACUAGAACUAACUAGAACUAGAACUAGAACUAGAACUAGAACUAGAACUAGAACUAGAACUAGAACUAGAACUAGAACUAGAUGAACUAGAGGGAUCCUCUCUACUUUUAUGAAUAAUUGAAACCCUAGCUUUGAUUCUGUAGAAGAGGUAUGUUCUCUAGGGGCCAGGGGACCCGCUUAUAUAGCCCUUCCAAAUGAACGUGGGCCGUCGGAUCAAACCGACCUUAAUCGCAUAGUUUUCCUUGAUCCUCAAAGGCGGUGGAGCAAGAUCCGCGAGACCGGCCCUGAUUGGUCACCAGGGCAGGGCGGGCGCCCAAGGGGGGAGGGCGGGCGCCCUGCCCCCAGGCCCGCUCGGCCUUCCAUUUGUUUCCGUAGCUUCUGGAGUCUUUUAGAUGAUAGAAAAUUGCCGCACACGUUAAUAUCUCUAUGUAAACCUGACGUCUAGACCUUUCCUCCAUAUUUUGUGAUAACCCCCUGUAGAAACAGACAAACACCAAAUGGAAUUUUGUCAGAUAAAAUCCUAAGUCUAGGUGUCGGUUGCAUUUGGAUCCUUUUCCAUGAUAACUUGAUGGUUAAAUGUGAGCAUUAAGGACCGUCAGCACAUGCUCAGGAGGGAGCCCCUAAGUCGCCCAAGCUGGGGGAGAGGGCGACCCGAUCACUAUUAGUGACGAGUCCGGGGAAGGCCCGCCGUCAACAAGUGACCGCAUCCGAGACAAAGGGACUAAGAUCCAUCGCGUCGAUGGGCGGACGCUGUGGCCUACCGGGCUCUGUGCCGUCGAGGAAGAGAAGAAAAAGAAGACCGAGGCGGAGCAGAGGAGGAAGAAGGAGCAGGAAGAAGAGAGAAAGAAGAUGAAGAGGAGAAGCAGCGUCUGCUGGAGCAGCAGCGGUAGCAAGAGCUGGAGGAGCAGCUGGAGAAGCACCAGCAGCAACCACAACAGCAGCAGCGGCAGCAACAGCUGGAACAGCAACGGGAGUAGAAACCGCAGUGGCAGCAACUACAACAGCAGCAGUAGCAGCUGGGGGAGUGGCUGGAGAAACAACAACAGCAGGAGUAGCAGCAACAACUCGAGGAAGGGCUGAGGCUCGAGAUGGGGAGAUGGAGCUACCCAUCUAUGGCCCCGCGACUCCCCGAGGGGUUCCUACCAUCCCAGCCGAGCCACGUCGGAAGGACGGUGUCGUGGCGCUGGUGCUCGACAUGCGCACUCCCACGGAUCCGAGCUUGGAGAUUAAGGGGACCCUCUAUGGCAUCGAGGGUAUUGCCCCGGGCUAUUUAGGGGGUCGAUGGCCAUGGGAGGAUGUGGCUGGGAUGUCUGCUACUGGCGAGGAUGAUUGGGCCAGGACAUCUGCUAUCGGUGAGGCUGACGAGGCCAGGACCUAGGGUUCUGUUAAGGAGGACGGGCGAUUCCCUUCCCUGAUCGACCUGUUCCUGCGCCACAGAGGCUCGGUCGAGACGGUGUAGGAGCUCAUCCAGGGCGUAAAGGAGCAUACGAGGGAAGAGCUCGAGCACUGGGGCCCUAGGAGAAUCCGCCUUCGAUGUUCUACGUCUCCACAGGAGCCAAACAUCAUGAUGGACGAUCGUAAGGAGGCCGAGAAGUGGGAGCACCUCGAGGAGCUCUGACUUUGGAUGAAGCAUGUCCUGAGCCUGAUGUCUAACAUUGUCAACAAUGGUUUGGGACGGGCUUUCUUCAUAAGGACCCCUUAACUCUCGUCAUUUUGAGUUUCUCGUUACACCAGCGUGCUUAUCUCCUUGUGCUCUUUUGCAGGACGUGAAGGAGAUCUCCCGGCUGAAAUCAGGCUUCACUCAUGCGACAAGGGGUGGCUGGGAGCAGAUUCCCCUUCUCAAGGAUCAGCUCCUCGAAUCACAAGAAAAGCUUCUUAAUGUACUUAAUGAGCGUACUGCAAUCAAGGUGAAGAAAGAGAAGAAGGAGGCCGCUGUGACCGAGGCUUGGAAGGCCCUAUCUGGCAUGAACAGUAAGGCUCCCGGGUGGAGGAAGAUGCCCGUGCUGCUCAGGAGGCUGCGGAGAAGGCCAAAUGGGAAGCUGCCCAAUCAAAGGAGCAGGCUGCUUCAGCCAAAGAAGCCCAGGCUCAGGAGGAAGUAGCACGAUACAAGGGCGAGGCCAUCGAGUUGGACAAAGGGAAGAGGUUGGCAGAGUCAGACCUUGUUGCUACUCGAGGCAAUUAUGCCAGGCUGAAGGAGGAGCUCCUGAGGAGCGAGAUCACUCGGGGCGCUGUGGAAGAGCCCGAGAAGAAGGCUUGUGAGGACCUCAAGGCAGAACGAGCCCGCUCUUGCAGCCUUUCUGACAACAUCGACCGUUUGAAGAAAGCGCUGCGAGAGAAAGAAGAUGCCAUCCUACAGUCGGGCAAGUUGAUCGAGGACCUGCGGGUCGAGAGGACAGAGUUGGCCCGCUCUCAGAAGAAGAUCGAGAAAGCUAACACCAACUUGGUUGGUGAGAACAUGACUCUUCAGGAGAGGGUCCGCGGUGAGUUUUCUAUGCUCUUACGUUUACUUUGUUUUUGCAGUGCUCAUUUUCUAUCGACUGAUUCCUUAUUUCAAUUUCUGCAGGGCUUAAGGAUGAUCUGUUCGCUGCCCAGGUCGACUCCUAGUCUCUUAAGGCAUAGCUUGAGGGGGAGGUCACAUUGACCGGUCGGCUAAGGACGGCAAUCAACGACCUCUCGACCUCAUGGGAGCUCGAGGCUGCGAACGAGGUAGGGGUGGCAGCCCGAGACGAUGCUCUGGUCGACCAGCUGUGCUAUUUGGGCGCUGUUGUGAGGGACCGAGUGCGGGACGCACUUCAUACUGGGGUAAAGCGGGCUAUGGCGUUUGUCUGCUCGGGCUUCUCGUAUGUUAUGGAGGUAGUGUCCCACGGCUUUGUCACUGACAUCUCCAAGGCAGAUGCGGAGAACAAGGAGAGACUCCACGGAUUGAUCGAUGAAGUGGAGGGUCCCGGCGAGAGGCUGGCGAAGCUAUUCGAGCCAGAGGUGCUUCCUCCAUAAGCUGGCGUGGAUGCAAAAGACGAGGGUAGGGACGGUGGAAAUGAUGACCAAGGCCUAUGAGCCUAAUCUGUGUGUUUAGACCUAAUGUAAUAUCUUUAGUACUUAUUUUGAAUAGCAUUGUGGCCUAAGCGGCCUUAAAACUCAAGGUUUCUGUAAAUACUUUUUAUUUUUAUACUCGAGCUUCCUUUAUUGCUUUGCUGCCUAAGUUCGUGUACCUCGAUCGUUGUUUUAAAAACAACCUCAAUUGCCUUGAGGGUGAGGGAGUGAGUAGAGUUACCAUUGUUGGUAUUUCGUAACGCCAUCAGGAAAUGAUCCGCAAGUGCACGGAUAUCGGUGAGCAUUUCACCCGGGAGGUUAUCUAGAGUAUCGUAUUUAUAUUUUUACCACUGGGAGAAAGCGUGCAUCUGACUAACUAAAUCUAUUGCUACUACCCUUUAGGCUACAAAGAAUGUUUCUUGAUGUGAGCGAUGUAUAGAGAAGACUGCAACCGUAGUCUCGUUCUAACCUUGGUAAGGAUUAUCUACUAUUCUAUUGGGGAAGCUUACGGAAUCUAGGCACCACAAAGGAUGUUCGACCUGCACCUAUAAACCCUACCCGUCUUGCUAACGAGAUGUGGGCUGCAAAGGUAACUCGGAAAUGUCAUGUUCCUCGCUACUACCACGGUCCAGCUAAUCAGGGGAUAUCUAUGAGUACCCUAGCCCGAACACCACAUUUACACUAGCAAUGUUUACUCUAAACUCAACCAGAAGAGAUUAAAGUAAACUCAUAAACCAAAGAACAUAGGAGCAAGCCUCGGGUUAGGAGAACUUGAUCCCGCAACUACAACCUCGGAGUAGACACCGACAGGCUGGGUUUCCUCCGAUCUACACCUCCACUCUAUCUCUCUCAAUCUAGUCGAACUUAGAAGAACUAAUUCUACUCUCACAUUGGAUGCUAAGCCCUAAGUCUAUUUAGAGGAGAGGUUUUCCUUCGAGGGCUCCUCUCAACUCUAUGAUGAACUUGUAUAGUCCCCUUAAGUGAAUCUGGGCCGUCGGAUCAAACCGACAUUGAUUGAACGGUUAUCCGUGAUCCUUUAGGUCGGUGGAGCACGAUCCGCGAGUUUGGACGUGAUUGGCAGAACUCCAGGGCGGGCACCCUCAGCGUAAUCCCCGAAGAGAGUCCUGAUUGGACUCUAGGUCAGGGCGGGCGCCCAAGGGGGCAGGGCGGGCGCCCUGCCCCCUGGCCCGAUCGCCUUCCCAUUCGUUCCCGUGGCUUCUGGAGUCUUCUCGAUGAUAGAAAAUUGCGCGGCAUGUUAAUAUCUCUAUGUAAACCCGACGUGUGGGGCUUUGUUACAUAUUUCCUGAUAACCCCCUACAGAAAUAGACAAACACCAAAACUCGUGGAAUUCUAUCAGAUAAAACCCUAAGUCUGGGUGUUGGUUGCAUUUGGAUCCUUUUCUUUAUUUAUUUGAUGAUUAUAUUUGGUACUUAAGGACCGUCAACAAACUCCCCCAAGCUUACCUCUUGCUCGUCCCUGAGCAAGGAUGUACUAAAGAGUUUCUACAGUGGUUUCAUGCCUUAAACGUGCACAUGCGUUCAAGCAAGAUCUCAUCUCUGAGUUAGAGUAAACUUGUUAAAACUUAAAACUUACUCAUUUUACCUUUCACCAUGGGGCUUGCAACCGUCACUUGUGUCUUGAGUAGUUAAAAGAUAGAACGGUCAAGUCACCAUGCCUCUUGUUCUUUGAAUAACUAUUUCACUAGAGUUUUUGCAGAUUUUGAAAUAAAACUCAGAGAUUCCUUAUAUGAUUCUCUCUAAUCUCUCUUUUGUGGUAUUUCUGGAUCUUUUCCAAGGCAGUGAUGGUAUAUGCCCUCUCUCAAAGUAUGUGGUAUUUUUGGUAUGAGACAUAGUGAUAUUGCCUUCUCUCUCACCCUACUCUAAUAAGGUUUUGAUAUCUGGAGCUCAUAGGUCGGAGACAGAUAAUACAUACUUACAAGACAUUUAUUGCAUAGUCAAACCAUGGAUCUAGAAGGACAAGUCAAUAAGUCAAAUCAAGAUGUGCAUGUGUGGCGAGUGAAUGGUGUAUGGUGAUGCUGGUGAUAAUAAUGGUGAAAGUCUAAUUCUACUUUUUCUCUUUUUAGGGGAUACAUACCUUUCUUCCACUCUGAAGCUUUUUGAGGAGAAUAAGAUGCUCUAUAUUUUCUUUUUCUUUUUCUCUCAGGUGGGUAUCUUGUACCCCUAAUUCUACUGUCGGACACUUGUCCAUUUUUACCUCUCGUCUCACUUUUUCUUUUCUUCGAGGUUCCGGUCACUUGCCCCUUUUUAUUUCCUCGUAUUUUUCCUCUUUUCUUUUUUAGAGCACUCAUCUCCUUAAAUAAUAUAGCAAGUGGUAGUAACCAAGAUAACUCGAGCAUUUAUUUCAUAGGGAAUAACAGGGAUAGGAAAAUAUUUUUGGCUAUUCUCUCCCGGAUUAGGAGUAGAAUAAAUUCGGGUGAAUGUGGAGAUGGAAAUGAGUGGAUAUAUGUGGAUGGUACUUCCGGAGUAGAAGUAGCAUGUAUGAGUGAACAUGCAAGUGAAUCUUGAUUUUAACCACAUGACAAGCUCCUAAGGGUCUACACAGCUUGACCACACUCAAUGCUCAUAAGCAGUAAAAAGUAAAUAUGUGGCUCAAAGUCUAGCAAGCAUGUAUAUAUGGCUGUGGUAGGAAUUUAAACUCUCAUCAUAUAGGAACUCAUCAUAUGUUAUUUUAAAGAUUUUUCAAAGAUAAAAUUCUCCAGAAUUCUAGCAUCUCUAGGAACAGAUAAACAGCAGCUCAACCUUCCCAUAUCAUAUCCGUUAACGACUUAGACUUUAGAUCAAGUACUCUUCCCACAAGUUCAGGUUUAGAGCAAAUUUUAAAUUAUAACAGUUAUGUCUAAACUUGAGAGAGAUUUCAAUUUUAAGAACUAGUCAUGGCAGAGCAACUAUUCAUCAUUUCCAUGUGAGAGCUUAUCAUGAGGGUUUAUAGCAAACUUUAUUUUUUUAUUUAUUUAGCAAACUAAGCAAAGAUAUAUAUAAAAGCACAAAAUCUUUAUUUGGGUUUUUAUAAUUAUGCAUCUCUUUAUUAUUUGAGUAAAGUAUAAACGCGAGUAGAAACACUUAGCUGGAUAAAUGGGGGUGCUCUCCCCCAAGCUGGAUUUUGACGUAAUUUCUUCUGAUGUAGCUAGCAGGUGGCAGAGGUGUAUUUGAAUGUCAGCAGCAUUCUGACAGCGAUUAGAAUGUCCUCCGUCUGCUAGUCUUCUUGAUUCUUAAAUUCUGUAGAGCUCAAAUAGACAACAAAGCUUUGUGGAACUGGUUAAGUGUUAGCAUAAAUAUCUAGCCUUUAUCAUGUUGAGCCUCCUCAAUAAAUAUUACUUAUUUAGCAGGAUCAUGCACUUAUUAUUUUUAUAUUUUUAUUGUAAGAUGAAAACUUAUUUAUUUUAUUUUUAUGCCACCACAGUGAAUGUACUUAUGGGGUUUAUGCCAUGAGCAUACUCACAUGGGGCUUACUAUUUUUUUUAACAUUUUUAUUUUCUUUUCAAGAUAGCAUGAACCUGAUUAACUAAGCAAACUAUUGAAUGGAAAAGGAUAACUACCAAGUUUACCUCUUGGCAAGGCGUUCGGUAUUUUUAAGUCCUCCGAACGGGACUCUCCGUUUUCUUAGUCGUCCUGGGAUUUGCUGGGUGGCGUAGUCGGUGGUUUCGGCGGCGCCUCCUCUUCGUGUAUAACUAUCUUCUGUUUCCACACCUGACUCGGUGCUACGGUCUCCUCAGGACAGUUCUGUUCAAGUUGUAUGUCUUCAGUCCUUAUCACUUCUCCUUCGUAAUCUACCCAUCCGUCCUUGAUGAUUUGCCUCCUCUGGUUGCGGUUGCGUUGUCUUCUUCUUGUCCUGACCUACUUAGAAUCUUCAACUAUAUAGUUAGAAUCAUUAAAGUAGUGGCGUACCUUUUCAGAGGGGAUGUGCAUGUGGACUUCUCUGGUUCCAAUGUAGAUGAUUGCUUUGAUAGUGUUGAGGAACGGUCUUCCAGGGAUGAUGGGUGGAUCGUACUCGUCUUCUCUCAUGUCAAUGACCUAAAAAUCAUUUGGAGCUGAAUGUAUCUUGGUUGUAGGGGCAUGGUUCCAUGCAGGAGCUGAUAAGUGACUGUGGCCAUUAUGUUGUCGUCAGAUCCGGUGUCGUAGAGUGUCUUCUGAAAAGAGUAUCCGUUGAUUGUGCACUCGACGCUUGGAACACCAGGGUCGUCCUUCUUGAUCAGGAAAGGCGACUUGAGUCGACGAUCUUGACCUCCUCUGACAAGGAUCCAAUGUUCUAAGUCUUGUGGACAAGACAUUCUCACCGUGUUCAUUCUUUAGGUGCAUCAUUUAAUUAGGUGUGGGUCUUGACACCUGCACCUCUUGAUAUAGUGUCACCUAUGUUCUUCGUUUGCCCAGCAGUUCGAAGUGCAGUGUUGGCAAUAUCUUGCUUAGUGUGUUUGUGCUCGUAGAUCCAGGUCCUUCACUUGGUAGAGUCUGGGAGUUGUGAAACUCCUCCAUGUUUUGCUUGAAGUGUACCUGCUCAUAGAGACAAGGCAGAGAUCAAGUGCAUGGGCCCUGUUGGUGGAAAGCACCAACAGAACCAAAAGUGUAUUUAACCUUAAGCAUAGUGAGCAAGACAAAGUUGAUGGAUCAUGAGUGUAGCAUUUGUUAGAUCAGAUGGCUCAACCUAACGGAAAGAUAAUCUAUCUAUAUUUAUGUUUUUUUUCUUUAUAUCUUCCCAAAGAUUGAAUAUGCAACAUUUUAGCUUAAAUGAUUGGGAGUGUGGGAUCAUGAAGGUAGUACUAAGAACAAAGAUUAAAGGACUAAACAUGUUGAAUUAAUUGGGUUGGUUAAUUUGGAGUUAUAAAUCAUACAUGUUUGUCCCUUUAUUUAUGUGAGUGCUAGAACCAAGGAGAACUUAUAAAAGUGAUAAUCAAGUAUUUUAAGAUGUUAUUGAAGAGUGAUGGUAUAGUAUCACCUUGUGCAUCGUGUUUGUGGCACCCUCCAUGAAUCAUCUCUUAUGAGCUACGUCUUUCUUGUGCAAAUUGUUAAACUUCAUGUGUCACUUUCUUCAUCUCCAAUGUGAGUUUAUCUUAGGACUUCCCAGGUUGAUAUUGAAAGUUCUCCUGCAGGGGUUAGUCCCACAAAAUAUACCAAUAUCUACUCAAGCAGUUUUUAGUUCAGUAACCAAACUAGACUCCAUGUCUAAUCAGAUUAAGGAAGGUUAUUUAACCUAAGCACCGCACUUAAUUUAAAUGCCAUUGGAAGUGUGUCCAGUACUUCCAAACUAACACUUACUAGGAUAAACAAAGGUAGCAUGAUGGCUUUUAUAUAGAUCUACUCAAGUGGAGAUGAAGUAGUGUGAUUAGUAUUAACAAAUUGAGCAUGUCUCAAAGGUAAGGACAACCAACAUAGCAGCAUGGCAAAGGAUGUUUUAUGUAAAGUACUCCCCCAAGCUUGAAUUUUGCAAAAUUCAAGAUUGGAUGAAUUUAAUUUAAUGUUGCAUGAUGAUUGGUUGGGCAUACCUUGCGCUUGUCAUUCAUCCGAUCUUCUUGUUCCAAUCCUGGAAAGGUUAGUGGCAAGAAUACUCGAAGGAAUAUUUCUAUAAUUAUCUCAAUAUGCUAAAUACACAAGGCAAUGUUGCAAAUAAUUAGAAGUUCAUGUUACGAUCUGAUAAGUUCUUGCUAAGCUUAUCCUUGGGAAACCAUCAAGUUAUGUUGGUGAAGUGGUUUCCCCUCCAACACCUACCUAUAUCAAGAUCAACUCAACGAGAUCUACAAUAUUUAUUAUAGACAUAUGCAUCGACAACAGCCCUUUUAAAGAUUUUAUAAAUAGAAAGGAAGAGGGGAUUGGAGAUCUCAAAUGUGGUAAGGAUGAAGAGACCAAUUGAUUGGAGAGAUGUUUUAUAUGAGCAAGGACUUGGUAAGGUAUUUAUGAAAUAACUUCCAUGCUCACUGUUGUUUCUCUCAUUCUCAAACUCCAAGGAUGAUUCUUCAUGAAUGCUUAAAAUUCCUCUAGGGUUGUCUCUCAAGUUUGUUUUAUCUAUCCAUUCAAUGGUGAUAGCACAUGGAUUUUUAAUGCCCUCUAGCCAUUGAUGUUGCUCUUCUUGAUCCUCCUUCUUAUGCAUGGGAUGUCUAGAGAGAUUCAUAGGAUUAUCGGGAGGUUUAAGAGAAAGAGGAUAGUAGAAUUUAUUAAGCUCAAGGAUGGGUUGGAUAGCCGAAUUAUGGGAUUGAAAUGUUUGGAAAUCGGCUAUUGAAACUUCCUUUCCUUGUUUGGGAUAUGAUUCCUUCUCUAUUUCUAAGAUUUUUCUAUGAAGACUAGUACAAGAAGGAUGUCCAUGAAUGAAGACAUGCCUUCCUUUACUAAUAGAUAAAGAAAGAAGGACUCUACCAAAGGUUAUAUGAUUAAGGCCAAUGUGAAAAUAUUCAGGAAACACAUGGUCUUGUAGGGCUAGGUCUAAACUAGAAUUUAUAGAAAGAUUAAAAGAUUACCUAGGUGUAGCUGAAAGUGCAUUAUCUUCUUGAUUAAAAGAUAGGACCUCGGCUAUAGAAAAGGGUUGGUUUUGACCUAUUGCAAUCAACUCCGGACACAGAUCAUAAUUAGGGGCAGGACGUGUUGACUCCCAUGGGCUAUGGCUGGUCUCCGAAGGUGCAAAGAAUUUAAUAAUAGGUAUGGAAUUUGAGUUAUCCAUAAAGAUAAAAAUAAAAAGAUAAAAUAAUAAAAGUAUAAAAGUAUAAUACAAGAUAAUAGCAAGACUCAAAGUUAUCUCAGCAAACCGUCUUUCUCCCCGGCAACGGCGCCAGAAAUGCUUGUUGAUAUUUGGUAACGCAAUCAGGAAAUGAUCCGCAAGCGCACGGAUAUCGGUGAGCAUUUCACCUGGGAGGUUAUCCAGAGUUAUCGUAUUUAUAUUUUUACCACUGGGAGAAAGGGUGCAUCUGACUAACCAAAUCUAUUGCUACUAUCCCUUUAGGCUACAAAGAAUGUCUCUCGAUGUGAGUGAUGUAUAGAGAAGACUGCAACCGUAGUCUCGUUCUAACCUUGGUAAGGAUGAUCUACUAUUCUAUUGGGGAGGCUCACGGAAUCUAGACAACACAAAGGAUGUUCGACCCGCACCUAUAAACCUACCCGUCCUGCUAAUAAGAUAUGGGAUACAAAGGUAACUCGGAAAUGUCACGUUCCUCGCUACUACCAUGGUCCAGCUAGUCAGGGGAUAUCGAUGAGUACCCUAGCCUAAACACCACGUUUACGCUAGCAAGUGAUUACUCUAAUACUCAACCGAAAGAGGAUUAAAGUAAACUCAUAAACCAAAGAACAAUAAAACAAGAACUUACUAGUAUUAGAAGUCGAAUUACUGAAGAAUCUUAGAUGCAAGCCUCGGGUUAGGAGACUUGAUCCCGUAGGUACAACUCGGAGUAGACACCGACAGGCCGGCCUUCCUCCGAUCUACACCUCCACUCUAUCUCUCUCAAUCUAGUAGAAACUAGAAGAUCUAUUUCUACUUAACAUUGGUUGCUAAGCCUAAAAAGAAAUAUUAUUUAGAGAAGAGGUUUUCCUUCGAGGGCACCCCUCAAUCUCUAUGAUAAUUUCUUGUCUUCUCCAGGGGCCAGGGGGGUCUCCUUAUAUAGUCCUCCCCUUUUAUGAGUUUUUGGGUCAGUAGGCGAGGUGGUACUACGUUAUCCUGAAUCCAAUAGGUCGGUGGAGAUCUCCCGAGAGAAAGUGUCCUGAUUGGGCUCGGCAGGUGGGCGGGCGCCCAAGGAAACUGGGCGGGCGCCCAGGUCCUGGCCCCGUUUCGCCUCCGCUUUGGUCUCGUGGCUUCUGGAGUUUUCUAGAUGGUAGAAAAUUGCGCGGUGCAUUGAUAUCUCUAUGUAAUCCUGACAUGUGGGCUUUUCUUCCUUAUUUCCUGAUAACCCCCUGCAGAAAUAGACAAACACCAAAACUCGUGGAAUUCUGUCAGAUAAAACCCUAAGUCUAGAUGUUGAUUUCAUUUGGAUCCUUUUCUUUAUUUAUUUGAUAAUUAAAUUUGAUACUUAAGGACCGUCAACAAGGGGUAUAAGAUACCCACCUGAGAGAAAAGAAAAAGAAAAUAUAGAGCAUCUCAUUCUCCCCAAAAGUUUCAAAAGAGCAAGAAAGGUAUGUAUCCCCUCAAAAGAGCACAAGUAGAAUUAGACUUUCACCAUUGUUAUCACUAUCAUUACCAUACACCAUUCAUUCGCCACACAUGCACAUCUUGAUUUGACUUAUUGACAUGUUCUUUUUGGAUCCAUGGUUGGACUAUGCAAUAAAUGUCUUGUAAGUAUGUAUUAGCUGUCUCCCACCUAUGAGCUCCAGAUAUAUAGCCUUGCAAUGCCACUAUGCCUUAUACCACAAAUACCACAUACUUUGAGAGAAGGCAUAUAUCAUUACUGCCUUGGUAUGGAUCCAGAAAUACUACAGAAGAGAGACUAGAGAGAGUCAUACAAGGAAUUUUUGAGUUUUAUUUGAAAAUUUGCAAACACUCCAAAGCUAUAGUUAAUCGAAGAACAAGAGACAUGGCGCCUGACUAGACCGUUCUAUCUUUUAACUGCUCAAGACACAAGUGACGGUUGCAAGCCCCAUGGUGGAAGGUACAAUGGGUAAGUUUAAAUCUUAACUGUUUACCCUAACCCAGAGAUGAGAUCUUGUUUGAACGCAUGUAUAUCUUUAAGGCAUAAAACCACUUUAGAAACUCUUAAGUCCAUCUUUGCUCACGGACAAGCAAAGGUUAAGCUUGGGGGAGCUUGUUGAUGGUCCUUAAUGCUCACAUUUAACCAUCAACUAAUCAUAGAAAAGGAUCCAAAUGCAGCCAACACCUAGACUUAGGGUUUUAUCUUACAGAAUUCCACGAGUUUUAGUGUUUGUCUAUUUCUGCAGAGGGUUAUCAGAAAAUAUGGAGGAAAGGCCCACACGUCGGGUUUACAUAGAGAUAUUAACGUGCCGCGCAAUUUUCUAUCAUCUAGAAGACUCCAGAAGCCACGGGACCGAAGCGGAGGCCGAGAGGGCUCAGGGAUAGGGCGCCCGCCCAAGUCCUUAGGGUGCCUGCCCUGGAGUUCUGCCAAUCACGUCCAAACUCGCGGAUCGUGCUCCACCGACCUAAAGCAUCAAGGAUAACCAUUCAAUCAAUGUUGAUUUGAUCCAACGGCCCAUAUUCACUUGAAGGGACUAUAAAACCAGACCCCCUGACCCCUGGAGAUCAUACCUCUUCUACAGAAUCAAAGCUAGGGUUUCAAUUCUUCAUCCAAGUAGAGAGGAUCCCUCUAGUUCUUCUAGUUCUACCUCUAGUUCAUCUAGAUCUAGUUCUAGUUCAUCUAGUUCUAGUUCUAGUUCCUCUAGUUCUAGUUCUAGUUAGUUCUAGUUGUAAUCUAGAAAAUAGGGACAGAGAAGAGGAGAGCGGAGGAGGAGCCGGAUCUGUCGGAUCUUCCUCAACAUUGUACUUUUGCAGCAACUGGUUCGUUCUUCAUCGUUCUCUAGGUUCUUCAAUUCAUAAUUCCUAAGUUUUUUAAUUACUUUUAUCUACAUUCAAGUUAUUUAUUGGGUUCCCGCUUGCAUCUAGUGCUCUAGUCUUUAUAACGCUAGAGUAGUAAUUAAUAUAUUAGACGUAGUGUUUAGUCUUGAAAUUACCUGGAACUGCACCCAAUCCUACGGACUGUUGUGGUAGCAUUAGGGUAGUGACAGCCCUAACGGUCGACGUAUUCCACCUCGUUCGGAUUGGUGUUUGUAGGACCGUAGUCAGACCUUCCUAGCCCCCUUCUCAUCUCUUUCUGUGGUUAGUGCUCUGAUGUCCCGAUAUAAAUAAUCUUGAAGUAAUUCUUGAUUCUUAGAUCAACUACAGAACUCUCAGGAAACUUCUUCUCUUCCUACCAAAAAUAAUUAUAUAGUUAUCCUUGGGCGAUCUUGGAACUUAAUUAGUACACUCACGUUCUCUGUGGAAAAUCGAUACUCUCGAAUACUCCCGGGUGAAGGCUACAUCGGUAUCCGUGCGCUUGCGGAUUUUUCUGUUUGCGUUUAAAAUACCCAACAAUAACUAUCUUCUCUUCCUGACUCGGUGCUAUGGUCUCCUCAGGACAGUUCUGUUCAAGCUGUAUGUCUUCAGACCUUACCACCUCUCCUUUGUAGUCUGCCCAUCCGUCCUUGAUGAUUUGCCUCCUCUGGUUGCGUCGUCUUCUUCUUGUCCUGACCUGCUUAGAGUCUUCAACUAUAUAGUUAAGGUUAGUAAAAUAGCGGCGUACCUUCUUAGAGGGGAAGUGCAUGUGGACUUCUCCGGUUCCAAUAUAGAUGAUGGCUUUGAUAGUGUUGAGGA
rnacentral:lncRNA from 1 species